GGCUCCGGCCCUAUCAGCCUGAAGGCGCCCGAUCUCGUCUGAUCUCGGAAGCUAAGCAGGGUCGGGCCUGGUUAGUAUCUUGGAUGGGAGACCACCUGGGAAUCCCGGGUGCUCGAGGCU
ensembl:rRNA 5S_rRNA 5S ribosomal RNA